rnacentral:rRNA from 1 species
CAAUAGCGUAUAUUUAAGUUGCUGCAGUUAAAAAGCUCGUAGUUGGAUUUCGGGUGGGAAUGGCCGGUCCGCCGUUUCGGUGUGCACUUGCUACGCCCACCUUGCUGCCGGGGACGUGCUCUUGAGUUCACGCUCGGGACACGGAGUCGGCGAGGUUACUUUGAGUAAAUUAGAGUGUGCAAAGCAGGCCUACGCUCUGAAUACAUUAGCAUGGAAUAACACGAUAGGACUCUGGCCUAUCUUGUUGGUCUGUAGGACCGGAGUAAUGAUUAAGAGGGACAGUCGGGGGCAUUCGUAUUUCAUUGUCAGAGGUGAAAUUCUUGGAUUUAUGAAAGACGAACUACUGCGAAAGCAUUUGCCAAGGAUGUUUUCAUUAA